rnacentral:rRNA from 1 species
GAUGAACGCUGGCGGCGUGCCUAAUACAUGCAAGUCGAGCGAACGGAUGAGAAGCUUGCUUCUCUGAUGUUAGCGGCGGACGGGUGAGUAACACGUGGAUAACCUACCUAUAAGACUGGGAUAACUUCGGGAAACCGGAGCUAAUACCGGAUAAUAUUUUGAACCGCAUGGUUCAAAAGUGAAAGACGGUCUUGCUGUCACUUAUAGAUGGAUCCGCGCUGCAUUAGCUAGUUGGUAAGGUAACGGCUUACCAAGGCAACGAUGCAUAGCCGACCUGAGAGGGUGAUCGGCCACACUGGAACUGAGACACGGUCCAGACUCCUACGGGAGGCAGCAGUAGGGAAUCUUCCGCAAUGGGCGAAAGCCUGACGGAGCAACGCCGCGUGAGUGAUGAAGGUCUUCGGAUCGUAAAACUCUGUUAUUAGGGAAGAACAUAUGUGUAAGUAACUGUGCACAUCUUGACGGUACCUAAUCAGAAAGCCACGGCUAACUACGUGCCAGCAGCCGCGGUAAUACGUAGGUGGCAAGCGUUAUCCGGAAUUAUUGGGCGUAAAGCGCGCGUAGGCGGUUUUUUAAGUCUGAUGUGAAAGCCCACGGCUCAACCGUGGAGGGUCAUUGGAAACUGGAAAACUUGAGUGCAGAAGAGGAAAGUGGAAUUCCAUGUGUAGCGGUGAAGUGCGCAGAGAUAUGGAGGAACACCAGUGGCGAAGGCGACUUUCUGGUCUGUAACUGACGCUGAUGUGCGAAAGCGUGGGGAUCAAACAGG